CUCCAUGGGUAUCCCGAGGUGGCUAACCCACCACAUCUCCGCACGGUAGACUUCCCAGACAGACAGAUGCUGUCCAUAAGCUGGUCCCUUCCUAGAACUCUUGCACUCUAUCAAUAAACGGGAUAGAUUGUAGCGGUAUACAGGGAGAGUUGACUUUUUGGAAAUCUUGGUCAUCAACUGUGAGGUGUGCGUAAGUGGGUGCCGCUUGGUCUACAGUCUUCAAGAGGAGCUUUCUCAGACAAGGGAGGACACAACAAACGAGAAGAGCAAAGAUAAAAAGGAAAAUUAGUAUUGCUAUACCAAUAUGCAUCAAAGCUUUUUGCCAUCCUGUCAUCCAACCAAACCAUCUCUCCCA